rnacentral:rRNA from 1 species
UACAUAGGGUGCAAGCGUUAAUCGGAAUUACUGGGCGUAAAGCGUGCGCAGGCGGUUUUGUAAGUCUGGCGUGAAAUCCCCGGGCUCAACCUGGGAAUGGCGAUGGAGACUGCAAGGCUGGAAUCUGGCAGAGGGGGGUAGAAUUCCACGUGUAGCAGUGAAAUGCGUAGAGAUGUGGAGGAACACCGAUGGCGAAGGCAGCCCCCUGGGCUAAGAUUGACGCUCAUGCACGAAAGCGUGGGGAGCAAACAGG